rnacentral:rRNA from 1 species
GUAGUUAGCCGUGGCUUCCUCCUUAGGUACCGUCAUUAUCGUCCCUAAAGACAGAGCUUUACAAUCCGAAGACCUUCUUCCCUCACGCGGCGUUGCUGGGUCAGGCUUGCGCCCAUUGCCCAAUAUUCCCCACUGCUGCCUCCCGUAGGAGUCUGGACCGUGUCUCAGUUCCAGUGUGGCCGAUCAGCCUCUCAGCUCGGCUACCCAUCGCAGGCUUGGUGGGCUGUUAUCUCACCAACUACCUAAUGGGACGCGAACCCCUCCUUCAGCGGAUUGCUCCUUUGACCUCAUCCCGAUGCCGGGUCGUGGUCUUAUGCGGUAUUAGCACUUGUUUCCAGGUGUUAUCCCCCUCUGAAGGUCAGGUUGUUCACGCGUUACUCACCCGUUCGCCACUAAAAUUUAUCUUCCAUCCGAAAACUUCUGAUAAAUCUCCGUUCGACUUGCAUGUGUUAGGCACGCCGCCAGCGUUCGUCCUGAACCAAGAUCAAAUUCUGA